UUUUCGUUUGUCUAUAAAACAUUUUCCAAGUACAAUUUGCUUGCACGAGUAAAUAUAUUUUACAUGUUUAUCGAUAGCACAUUUUCUAAAUUUAUAUUGGGAAAACCAUAUAGUUAGUAUAGAUAAUAACUAUUUAUGGUAUUUAUUAGGUCUUUAUGCUGAAAAUCUCCGGUCAAUAUAAUUGCUACUGCUUACUUAUUAAUAUUUUUUGGUUUCGGACAGUCCCUGUUAUGGUCUACUUGAGCGAAUGUAUACUUACGUGGUUUUCAUCUCCCAAAACAUAAAGACGGCGUUUUGUAUAGGCAUUUUAUGUACAUCCGUGAGUUCCAAUGACUCGUACAACAGCGAUGAUGACGUGUACUAUUGUAUGCUCCGAGAAAGCGAAUUUAUUUCAAAUUUCAUAUAUUCCAUUACAUUGCUUAACGAUUGCCAAUGUCAGUCGACGAGUGAUUUAUCAAUAUUGAGAUUUUCUUAUGAUUCAUAAGUAUGUCAUUAGAAAAAAAAUUUAAGCACCCGGUCAUGAAUUUGUUUUAUAAAUAUUAUAGAUUUUUUCAUUGUCAAAAAUGCGUUGAAACUUAAAGAAAAAUCCACACCAAAUUAAAUCUGACACAACAAUAUGUACACAAUGGUGAAAAAACAACAUUACUUUUUCAAACCGAUUAAAUGAUUAAGUAUACAUUUAUUUUUGAAACCGAUUAAAAAUACAGACUUCUUUUCGGAUUGAUUCUCGACAAUAUUGUUGUAACACAAUAUUACGGUAAUUAUUUUGAAAGUUUUCGAAGCGUAAAUCAGUAUACCUAUGGAAUACUAUAUGGUAAUCGGUAUCUGGAUUAAAUUAGUAUCGUACAAAUAUUAUUGCCAAUUGCUAAGACUCAACGACGAGUAACUAAUGUUAUCUAUACAUAGACACACACACAUUCGCACGAGCUCGCACGAAGUACAUAAUAUACGCGUUUAUAGAUAUAAAUUGAAUAACUAUACAUGUCGAUUGUUAAGAGAAAAAGAAAAAUUCGUUCCUUACGGGUUGGUAUACGGCGAGUGAAAGGCAAUUACCGUCGCCUUGUUGACGUGAAAAUCCAAUACGGAAAACCGACGGAAAACUCGUCGCAGUCGUCUGCAUUUUUGUAUAUAUACGAUGUAAUAUUAUCCCGAACAACCGGAUGAUGGUGGGCCGUCUGUAUAAAUAACACGCGUACACGCGCAUAAUAGAAAGUUACGAUAUAAUAAUGUCACCGUUAAAUGAUUUUUAGAUCAUUUAUAUUUCGUGCGUGCGUCCGCCACCCGUCGUCGUCGUCGCCGCCGCCGCCGCCGUUAAAACGAUUUUAACGCACGCGCUGGUUAACGAUUUCAACUUUCACGGCUCAUUUGAAUAUCAAUUAAAAAUAUCUCGCGAAUGUCACGCCUCGUGAGAUCGCAUAUCGCGCGCGGCGCCGGUCCGUUUGCCGUUCGGCUGCUGUAUCUGGGUAUAUGAUAAUGUACUGCGGUAUAAAAAUGUAUAUAUAAGGCUAUUAUUUAUUCGUCAACUGGAGCGUACAUAGGUACUAUAUGUAGACACAGGCGUACCACCUACCUACCUAUACGUAAACACGGUUGUGGUUAGAGAAAGUCCGCGCCGCCGUUAUCGGGCAAGCUUAAAAAAUAAAUAAAUUCCCCACAUUAACGUGCGUAUGAAGGUAUACCUCCUAUAUAAUAUGACAUAAUCCGUCGAGGAUGCAAUGCUGCUUGACCGUUUUUCUUUAUUUUCAAAUGGUUUCUCUUUCGUCUCUUGCAACGCGAGGAGAGAAUAAUAUGGAUGUAUAUGAUACACAUCAUAAGCGUGUAUACCUAUUUGUACUAUUUUUUAGAAAUUUUAAGCUCACCCUCACGGCUCACAUCCUAAUCCUGAAACUCUCAAUUGGUAGAGGUGACCACCAUAUACACUGUACAGACCAUAAUAUAUGCGCGAUUAAAAAUUAAUACUCACGUUAUAAAAACGUGUCUUGACUCUUGAUAAUAUAACUAAAGUUAUUGUGUACAACAUAAUUAUCUAAAAUCGGAAUAUUAUUCGAAUUGGAAAAUGAUAAAAAACCAUUGUGAUCUUCACAUUAUACGUAGACAUCGCAUAUUAUAACAUAAUAUGUUUGUUUGACGAGUAUCCUCGACCCUCUGAGGGCUAGGUUCAAAACUUACCUAUUACAAUAUUUUACAGGGAGCUUAUCUUUUUAAAAUUAAGAUUACAUACUUAUAUUAAAAUAAACUAACAAUCCCCUUACACUAUUUUAUGUAUGAAAUUAUAGAACUAUAUAUUGACUCCAAAAAUAGACUAAAAUUGAUUUCAAUUUUUAAAAUAAUAACAAAUCGUUCCAAUACUGCAAAGUACCUAUACCAUAAUAAUAUUUCCUUAUCAAUCAAUUAAUUACUUAAGGAGGGGUAUGGAAUUAUUUGAGAAGGGUUAGGGCUAAGCUUUUAUCUGGCUAUGCUUCGAGUGUAUAAACUAUACUGAACUACUGAAGAUAUAUAUCUAUACCUAUUAACCUAUAAUUAUAGACGAGAAACGUAUAUACGUAUACUUAAGUCGUAUAGAAAUAGGAAAAGCACUCUUUUAUUUUUUAUUAUUCGUAGACCCUGCAGAACAAUAUAAUUAUAAGUUGUAAGUUUAAAACUACUAUAUGCACAUUUUCUAAUUUUCAUUGACAUCGGCACACGUUUAAUAUGUUAAUAAUUAUUAUAUUGGCAUCGCAAACAAAUUACAUUAAAUUUUUGUCUUAAUAGUCGUUGAUGAUAAUGUAAUUAGAACUUUUCCUAUACUCGACGUGUGGUCUUUUUGGUAAUGCACUAAUGCCACAGUAACGCUAGGUGGCAUAAACAAACAUUUAAGGAAUGAAUAGUGAAUCUAAUAUAGUCCAUUAGGUAGGUAAAGGUUAGUAUAGCUUAAGAUACCUUAAGUCCUUAAAUAUGAUUUGGUGACCAAUGAUUGGUGUUUUAGUAAACUAUUUUAAUUUGUCCAAUUUUGUAUGCGACUGCAGUUAACAAGCAUAACACUAUUAAUAUGUGGAAGUGCAUAUCGUACACGCGAAACCGUUUCAAACCGUUAAAAUUUGAAGUUUCAAUAGAAUUCUAUGUCUCUAUAUUUACAUACAUACUAUCAUUGUCAUAGUGCUGCAGUAUAAAUAUUAUACUAGAUAAAAAAAACCAUAGCUCUAAGAAAACGUAUAAAAGGUAUAUUUGAUUCUCAUCUUGGCCAUGUUCAAUUGACUUUCUCUACCAACAAUAUCUACCUACAAUAUUAUGUUUGAGGCACUAAGUCAACAUAUUUUACGUGAUCUGUGCAGUGGGUAUGCUGUAGUGCGCGUGUGUGUAUAGUGUUUGUUUAAGGUCCUUUGGGUUCGCACGCACCAUACAUCAUUGAUCAUACUAUCAUAGUGAAAUCAGAAGCGCGCGUUUUUUUUAAUGUUUACGCAUUGGUGUGCACUGUGUGAUAUAAUAAUAAGAAUAAUAUUAUAAUACAUCCAUUCAUUUUCUUUCUUCUCUCUCCCUCUCUCACUCUUCUCUUCUUUUCGGGUCUUGACGGGUGUGAAAUUUGACGUUUCACGAUUUCUCUGCUUUCUUCCGUCAUCGCUCGUUAAAACGUAAGACGACAAAUAAGAAAAUAAUGAGGAAAAAAUGCGUAUACGAAAUUAGCAUGUAUAUAAAACACCAGCGGGUGGGUUUGCCGUCGCAUUCAGUCGUCACCAUUCAUCGACGCUGCGGCGGCGGCAGCUGCUCAGUCGCGAGAUUAGUUUAUUGUCCUAAGUAUCAUUUAUAUUAAUAACAAUAAUUACCAGUUAUUAGACGAAAAUACUAAUUAAGCUAAAUAAUAAUAAUAUAUCGAUGACUGCAGCUGAUACUGGUCACGGACUCGUGUUAAUUGAAACGCCGUGGAAAUCGCAACAGUCUCGCUUUUGCUGUACACUACAUUAUAUGUGGACCAAUUGGGAUUUUCAUUUAUUUUCAAAAACAAACAUAUCUCAUUUUAUUUUCUAAUAAAUAAUUGUUCAUAUAAUACAAAUAUAUAUGAUGUAUAUAAUACGGAUGAAGGUAUGUAAAAUAUCGCUCUUAUGUCGAUUAUUAUCGAAUUUUAUAUGACGAUUGACGAGGUACUGCAGUUCUAUAUACUUUUCGUGCAAAAAAAAUUUAGUCAACAACCACGAUCUUUUCGAUAGCUAAUUCCACUACAAUGUACAUAACUUAUUUAUUCGAUUAAUAUUUUUAGUUAAUCAAUUAAUUUAAUUUAAAAAUUAAAAACUAAAUUAUUUUAAAUUAUGUAGCGAAUUUUUACUAUAUUUAAAAAUAUAAUAUAAUUUAUAUCAAAAAUGAAUAUAAGCUAUAGUGUAUCUUAGGGUACUUGCUAAUGUGGAUUCUUUUGUAGAUAAAUUAUUGUUUUUUUUUUUUAAACAUGGCUGUGAUAAAAUAAUUUUUGCAAUCCCUAUAUUUUUUCCCACCUGCUUUUAUCUAAAAUAUUGUUUUACAAAAACUCCAACGUAGGACUUUUAAAAUUUCAAGGCCGGCAAAUUAACUUUUUGUUAAAAAAAACACAUACUCAAAAUUUCAAUUUAUUGUUUUUCAAUGCACUAUACAUAAACAUGAUACAUAAAACAUUGUUAUAAGCCACUAUACUGUACUUAUUUCAUAUAUACCUUUACUACUACGACAUAUAAUAUGCAAGCAUACAACUUAACCACGUACUAACAACACCUCAUUUUUCUUCGAAACUGUAUAGUGUAUACAACUAUAAUAUUGUGUAUUAUGAUUUUAUGAAUAAACCUACCUAUUAAAUAUUAUAUUAUACAUAUUAUAUAACUUAUACGUAUUCUUAAUAUAAUUUUGUACAUCGACAAUACUAAUCAAUAUAAUAUGAAUCCUGUGGAUUUUUAUUUUAUAAAAAACAGUAUUUACUAACGUAACUAUACAUAUUACAUAGGCACAUAGCUUAUUAACAUUGACUCUACUUUACACGUACUUGCUGUAUAAAUAAAUGUAUAUUUUGCUUAACUCAUUGUGUUGACGACUUUUAAUACCUACUCAAAUUUCAAUUUGUCUACAGAUAUUUUAUGCAUACAAAUAAACACAAUAUUUUUAUACCUUUA